UGUGCCUUCCUGGUCCUGCCUUGACUUUGGGUUGUGUUGCUGCUCAUUGUUGGACUGUAGGUGACCCUGGCUCUCCUGGAUCUUCGCGUUCAGGAUGAGGUUAUGGCUACAAGCUCCAUCUCAAGCAUCCAGCAAGAAGACAACAGGAGAGCAGAGCUGGGAAAUAGUUCCAGUAUCACCAGACUCAAGAGAAAAAAGUUCCUUAGUCAUAUUGCAAAGAAAUCAACUAUGUACCUGCAAGUCAGAAGAUGGAGUAAGCACAAAAGUAGGAAUGUGGAAUUCCUGUGACCUGGGCUCAUGGUUCACGAGAAGACAAGAGAGAAAAAUAAGAUGCAAUGGAAGAGAAUACUUCGAGAAAGCUUAUCUCAUGUGAUCUUGGAAGAUUUUCUCUCAGUCCACCGCUUCAACAACCAUGAGCACCUCCACGCUAUAAAUAACCUUUGCUUCUGUUUUAUCAUCAAAACUCCACGUUACUGCUGCUGAGUUAGAAUUUGAGCAACUGAGCAAAGCGACUUGUUGCAAUUGCAUCAUCUGCUUUGCUAAUACGUAACAUGAUUUCUGCAGAAAGCUGAUAAUUUAACAGACUGUUUGACAAGUGUCUUAUGAAAUUAAGUAGACAAACUGCUAACAAGAGAUUACAAAUAAAAAGUAAUUGUCAAUAAGGUA